rnacentral:rRNA from 1 species
UUCUUUGAGAUAUAAUUUAAAGUAAAACCUGCUCCAUGUAAUAUAAAUAGCCGCAGUUUACUGUGCUAAGGUAGCAUAAUCAUUAGCCUUAUAAUUAAAGGAUAGAAUGAAAGGUUAAACGUAAUUUUUACUGUCUCCGUAAUUAAUAUUAAUUUUAUAUUCUAGUAAAAAAUCUAGAAAAAACAAAUAGGACGAUAAGACCCUAAUAAACUUUACACUAUGCUGGGGCGGCACUAUAAUAAUACCUUAAUCAUAUAACAACACACAUCUAUUAUAAAUAAUACAGAUUCAGUUACUAUAGGGAUAACAGCGCUACUUUUUUCCAAAGUUCAAAUUAAAAAAAAAAUCUACGACCUCGAUGUUGAAUUAAUUUUUCUACUAAAAGCAAAAUUUUAGAAAGAUGGUCUGUUCGACUAUUAAACAAUU